rnacentral:tRNA from 1 species
CCACGCCUGGCGGUCGGACAGCGGCGGCGCCGGCUCGCCGCGGAAGGUGAUCUCCCCGCUGUCCGGCCGGUUCAGGCCGGUCAGCAUGGA